UACGUAGGGUGCAAGCGUUUAAUCGGAAUUACUGGGCGUAAAGCGUGCGCAGGCGGUUAUGUAAGACAGAUGUGAAAUGCCCGGGCUUAACCUGGGGAACUGCAUUUGUGACUGCAUGGCUAGAAUCUGGCAGAGGGGGGUAGAAUUCCACGUGUAGCAGUGAAAUGCGUAGAUAUGUGGAGGAACACCGGAUGGCGAAGGCAGCCCCCUGGGUCAAGAUUGACGCUCGAUGCACGAAAGCGUGGGGAG
rnacentral:rRNA from 1 species